rnacentral:lncRNA from 1 species
AGGUGUUUCUGGGAGACAUGAUAUGCUGGACCCUGUCAGAGAGGUGUUUCUGGGAGAUAUGAUAUGCUGGACCCUGUCAGAGAGGUGUUUCUGGGAGAUAUGCUGGACCCUGUCAGAGAGGUGUUUCUGGGAGAUAUGAUAUGCUGGACCCUGUCAGAGAGGUGUUUCUGGGAGAUAUGCUGGACCCUGUCAGAGAGGUGUUUCUGGGAGAUAUGAUAUGCUGGACCCUGUCAGAGAGGUGUUUCUGGGAGACAUGAUAUGCUGGACCCUGUCAGAGAGGUGUUUCUGAGUGAUAUGAUAUGCUGGACCCUGUCAGAGAGGUGUUUCUGGGAGAUAUGAUAUGCUGGACCCUGUCAGAGAGGUGUUUCUGGGAGAUAUGAUAUGCUGGACCCUGUCAGAGAGGUGUUUCUGGGAGAUAUGAUAUAGCUGGACCCUGUCAGAGAGGUGUUUCUGGGAGACAUGAUAUGCUGGACCCUGUCAGAGAGGUGUUUCUGGGAGAUAUGAUAUGCUGGACCCUGUCAGAGAGGUGUUUCUGGGAGAUAUGAUAUGCUGGACCCUGUCAGAGAGGUGUUUCUGGGAGAUAUGAUUUCGUUAAAUCCAAUUUGGUUUUAAGUAUAACUUUUGAGUGAUGCCUUUAGCGAGAGGUCUAAUGCUUUAAUAUUUAAUAAUAUCUGCCCUCCGAAUUCAUAUCUAUUUUACACACCAUUAUUAGUUACAUUGGUUUAGUGUGAACGUGCAGACUGGCACUAAGAACAGAACAGAGGGAACGUUUCCCUGGUCAGCUCCAUUAUUAGUUACAUUGGUUUAGUUUGAACGUGCAGACUGGCACUAAGAACAGAACAGAGGGAACGUUUCCCUAGUCAGCUCCAUUAUUAGUUACAUUGGUUUAGUGUGAACGUGCAGACUGGCACUAAGAACAGAACAGAGGGAACGUUUCCCUAGUCAGCUCCAUUAUUAGUUACAUUGGUUUAGUGUGAACGUGCAGACUGGCACUAAGAACAGAACAGAGGGAACGUUUCCCUAGUCAGCUCCAUUAUUAGUUACAUUGGUUUAGUUUGAACGUGCAGACUGGCACUAAGAACAGAACAGAGGGAACGUUUCCCUAGUCAGCUCCAUUAUUAGUUACAUUGGUUUAGUGUGAACGUGCAGACUGGCACUAAGAACAGAACAGAGGGAACGUUUCCCUAGUCAGCUCCAUUAUUAGUUACAGUGGUUUAGUGUGAACGUGCAGACUGGCACUAAGAACAGAACAGAGGGAACGUUUCCCUGGUCAGCUCCAUUAUUAGUUACAGUGGUUUAGUGUGAACGUGCAGACUGGCACUAAGAACAGAGGGAACGUUUCCCCAGUCAGCUCCAUUAUUAACGCCCUUUAAAGUGUUUCUCUGUGUCCCCCAGUGUGGCGGGAUUCUCUUAGAAUACAAACCGUAGUGUAACAACAGUUUUAGUAAUUAAUACUGAUGUCGUGCACAAUGAUCAGUUUCUAUUGGAUAUCAAUUUGUAAGUCGCUCUGGAUAAGAGCUAAAUGAUGUAAAUGUCUAUUGAGGUUUAUGUCGCCCAUUCAUUGUCAGUUAGAUACAGUAGGACCCAAAAACAUAAUCCGGUCUCUAACUCCCCCUUGUGGUGGUCUGGAGCAAUGAAGUGGUGACGCAGUGUAACAAACUAAACCACACAUUACCUCCAAGUACCGCAGCGUAAUCACAACACAUCACUACAUUUACCCACCUGACAGUGGAUAUUGAUAGGACCAGUAACUCUCAUUUGAUUCCAUCUCAUAGUGGUUUAAAUGUCAGAAUGUGUGAAUUGGAUUGUGUUUUUCUGUUGAUUCAUGUUCAUUGAAUUUCUAUUGAACAUUGAACACUGAAAGCUGGGAACCUCAGAUUAAAAUAGAGAUGGGUUCACCCUAGUAAACUAUAGGAGGAUAUAUGGCUGAUAUCUCAGUCUAUUGUUGAUGUAAUAGAGUUUUAUGGUUACAAAAACAUGAAGUUGGAGAAGGACAGACUUUCACACACAACUCACCCAGCUGUUGUCUGAUCUCUGUAGACAGAGAAGAUAAAACAUGAUGUAUUAUGGGUACUAGAACAUGAAGACAGACUACAUCCUCUCUAUUCUGACCUCCUCUGUAGACAGUAGAUAAAACAUGAUGUAUUAUGGGUACUAGAACAUGAAGACAGACUACAUCCUCUCUAUUCUGACCUCCUCUGUAGACAGUAGAUAAAACAUGAUGUAUUAUGGUACUAGGACAUGAAGACAGGUACAUAGAUGUGCUCUAUUUCCUUUGAUAAUGUUGUUAAUGUUGAAAAUCAAAUGAAUAUAGUAAACACAGAGUCCAGAUUCGAAGUUCAUCUUCGGGGAGAAAUAUAAUAUACAGUACAGCCAGUAGAGGACUGGUCACCCCUCAGAGCCUGGUUCCUCUGGUCUACCCAGUACAGCCAGUAGAGGACUGGUCACCCCUCAGAGCCUGGUUCCUCUGGUCUACCCAGUACAGUCAGUAGAGGACUGGUCACCCCUCAGAGCCUGGUUCCUCUGGUCUACCCAGUACAGCCAGUAGAGGACUGGCCAACCCCUCAGAGCCUGGUUCCUCUGGUCUACCCAGUACAGCCAGUAGAGGACUGGUCACCCCUCAGAGCCUGGUUCCUCUGGUCUACCCAGUACAGCCAGUAGAGGACUGGUAACCCCUCAGAGCCUGGUUCCUCUCUACCCAGUACAGCCAGUAGAGGACUGGUCACCCCUCAGAGCCUGGUUCCUCUGGUCUACCCAGUACAGCCAGUAGAGGACUGGUCACCCCUCAGAGCCUGGUUCCUCUGGUCUACCCAGUACAGUCAGUAGAGGACUGGUCACCCCUCAGAGCCUGGUUCCUCUGGUCUACCCAGUACAGCCAGUAGAGGACUGGCCACCCCUCAGAGCCUGGUUCCUCUGGUCUACCCAGUACAGCCAGUAGAGGACUGGUAACCCCUCAGAGCCUGGUUCCUCUCUACCCAGUACAGCCAGUAGAGGACUGGUCACCCCUCAGAGCCUGGUUCCUCUGGUCUACCCAGUACAGCCAGUAGAGGACUGGUCACCCCUCAGAGCCUGGUUCCUCUCUACCCAGUAAAGCCAGUAGAGGACUGGUCACCCCUCAGAGCCUGGUUCCUCUGGUCUACCCAGUACAGCCAGUAGAGAACUGGUCACCCCUCAGAGCCUGGUUCCUCUGGUCUACCCAGUACAGCCAGUAGAGGACUGGUCACCCCUCAGAGCCUGGUUCCUCUGGUCUACCCAGUACAGCCAGUAGAGGACUGGUCACCCCUCAGAGUCUGGUUCCUCUGGUCUACCCAGUACAGCUAGUAGAGGACUGGUCACCCCUCAGAGCCUGGUUCCUCUCUACCCAGUAAAGCCAGUAGAGGACUGGUCACCCCUCAGAGCCUGGUUCCUCUCUACCCAGUACAGCCAGUAGAGGACUGGUCACCCCUCAGAGCCUGGUUCUUACCCAGGUGAUAGACUAGAUAAGGUUUAUAUUCCAGUGAUUUGUAACCAGAGGUAGAGAGGUUCUUACCCAGGUGAUAGACUAGAUAAGGUUUAUAUUCCAGUGAUAUGUAACCAGAGGUAGAGAGGUUCUUACCCAGG